rnacentral:tmRNA from 2 species
GGGGCUGAUUCUGGAUUCGACGGGAUUUGCGAAACCCAAGGUGCAUGCCGAGGGGCGGUUUGCCUCGUUAAAAGCCGCAAAAAAAUAGUCGCAAACGACGAAAACUACGCUUUAGCAGCUUAAUAAC